GACGAACGCUGGCGGCGUGCUUAACACAUGCAAGUCGAACGGAAAGGCCCUGCUUUUGUGGGGUGCUCGAGUGGCGAACGGGUGAGUAACACGUGAGUAACCUGCCCUUGACUUUGGGAUAACUUCAGGAAACUGGGGCUAAUACCGGAUAGGAGCUCCUGCUGCAUGGUGGGGGUUGGAAAGUUUCGGCGGUUGGGGAUGGACUCGCGGCUUAUCAGCUUGUUGGUGGGGUAGUGGCUUACCAAGGCUUUGACGGGUAGCCGGCCUGAGAGGGUGACCGGCCACAUUGGGACUGAGAUACGGCCCAGACUCCUACGGGAGGCAGCAGUGGGGAAUAUUGCACAAUGGGCGGAAGCCUGAUGCAGCAACGCCGCGUGCGGGAUGACGGCCUUCGGGUUGUAAACCGCUUUCGCCUGUGACGAAGCGUGAGUGACGGUAAUGGGUAAAGAAGCACCGGCUAACUACGUGCCAGCAGCCGCGGUGAUACGUAGGGUGCGAGCGUUGUCCGGAUUUAUUGGGCGUAAAGGGCUCGUAGGUGGUUGAUCGCGUCGGAAGUGUAAUCUUGGGGCUUAACCCUGAGCGUGCUUUCGAUACGGGUUGACUUGAGGAAGGUAGGGGAGAAUGGAAUUCUUGGUGGAGCGGUGGAAUGCGCAGAUAUCAGGAGGAACACCAGUGGCGAACGCGGUUCUCUGGGCCUUUCCUGACGCUGAGGAGCGAAAGCGUGGGGAGCGAACAGGCUUAGAUACCCUGGUAGUCCACGCUGUAAACGGUGGGUACUAGGUGUGGGGUCCAUUCCACGGGUUCCGUGCCGUAGCUAACGCUUUAAGUACCCCGCCUGGGGAGUACGGCCGCAAGGCUAAAACUCAAAGGAAUUGACGGGGCCCCGCACAAGCGGCGGAGCAUGCGGAUUAAUUCGAUGCAACGCGUAGAACCUUACCUGGGUUUGACAUGGAUCGGGAGUGCUCAGAGAUGGGUGUGCCUCUUUUGGGGUCGGUUCACAGGUGGUGCAUGGCUGUCGUCAGCUCGUGUCGUGAGAUGUUGGGUUAAGUCCCGCAACGAGCGCAACCCUUGUUCACUGUUGCCAGCACGUUAUGGUGGGGACUCAGUGGAGACCGCCGGGGUCAACUCGGAGGAAGGUGGGGAUGACGUCAAGUCAUCAUGCCCCUUAUGUCCAGGGCUUCACGCAUGCUACAAUGGCUGGUACAGAGAGUGGCGAGCCUGUGAGGGUGAGCGAAUCUCGGAAAGCCGGUCUCAGUUCGGAUUGGGGUCUGCAACUCGACCUCAUGAAGUCGGAGUCGCUAGUAAUCGCAGAUCAGCAACGCUGCGGUGAAUACGUUCCCGGGGCU
rnacentral:rRNA from 1 species